UGGAGAUAUUUCCCUUGGAAAAGAAAACUCUACUCUCGAUCUUCAAAUGUUUCUGUUACCUACAUCAUCUUCCCUGGCAAGGGACACUCUCUUGAAUGUAUUGACUAAUGAAAGAGUAAGCCCACAGCACGAGGACAGCCUACAAGAGAUCAAGUGGCUACAUGAAGGAAAGCUGAGAUACCCAGCUGACAACCAAAUAACUGCUGAAGCAGAGCCAACUAGUCAAUGUGCAGCUGACUGCAGAAACAUAAAUGAGAGAACUACCUCUUUGAAGAUUCCAAAGUAAGAAAAAGCUGAACUCUAGAGAAAGUGAUGAGAAUACAAAUAACAAGCAGAGUGGAAAAAAUUUAGCUGCUAAUAUAGGCAGGAGUUCAAUUAUGUAUAUCCUCAUAGGCCAUGCUUAUUAUUUCUUUCCAAUGUUUUGAAUAAAGGAGUGACAUGAUUAA